rnacentral:rRNA from 1 species
GGCUACACACGUGCUACAAUGGUCUAUACAAAGGGUUCCAAGACCGCAAGGUGGAGGCAAUCCCAGAAAGUAGGCCCCAGUUCGGAUUGCAGGCUGCAAUUCGCCUGCAUGAAGCCGGAAUCGCUAGUAAUCGCGUAUCAGCCAUGACGCGGUGAAUAUGUUCCUGAGCCUUGUACACACUGCCCGUCAAGCCACGGAAGCGAGGAGUGCUCGAAGCC